ensembl:lncRNA NKAPP1 NFKB activating protein pseudogene 1
AGUUCCCAUGGUUUCCUUUGCUCCCAGCGGUUGCGCGGGCUGGGUUUUUGGAGCAAAGGCAACGGAUACUGCUGAGGCUCCUGAGAAUGUCCCGUUUUCGAGGCUGCAGUAGCUCCGGUGUCCGGUUCUGCAGUGCCGAGAGGGAGGCCUCGGGCUCCGGGCGGGGGAAUGUGUUGCAGUUUGUCCAAGAGCCCCAAGCCCAGCAAAGCCGCCCGUUCCCCGCUGGGGCGCAACUCUCACUGGAACUCUUGUUCUCUGACUGGGGAAUGGAAUGGGCUCAGCCAAGGCUCCCGAAACCAGCCCUGCCGCUCCCAGUUGUGGUCGCAUUCUCAAGAGCGGCUGACUGCGCCGUGGACCAUCACUUUCGCUUCUGCCUGCUCUUGCGCCUAUUGCGGCAACUACUCACGCUCCUACGGGACGAGGAGAGGGAGGUGAAUCCGUGGCAGAGGCAGUCUUGCUCUGUCACCCAGGCUGGAGUGCAAUGGCAUGAUCAUGGCUCACUGCAGCCUUGACAUCCCAGGCUCAAGUGAUCCUCCCAUCUCAGCCUCCUGAGUAACUGGGACUACAAGAAAGCACCACCAUACCUGGCUAAUGUUUUAAAUUUUUUGUAUAGAUGGGGUCUUGCUAUUUUGCCUAGGCUGGUCUUGAACUCUGGGGCUCAAGUGAUCCUCCCACCUUGGCUUCCCAAAGUGCCGGGAUUACAGACAUGAACUGUAUUCUUAUGAAAGAAGUCCAAUGCUUGUUUUUAAUGGUUCUUGGACAAUUGUCAUUGUUGCUGAAAAGUUUUAAGUCUGUGUUUUUAUACUCUAUGGUCCAUAUUUCAUCACUUUUCUAAUUCUUAUAACCAUUUUCUUUAAAUUCAGCUCUGCUGAACAUAUUGAAGUAAAGAAUGAAGAGCCAAAGAAAUGCACUACUUCAGUUUCUACAUCAGAAAGUAUUUUUAAGAUACAGACCUUUCUUGAGAAGUUAGAAAAAGUUUAUAAAUAGUUAAACAUUAGACUUUACUUUUAUUCAAAUUGCCUAUCAUCUAUUCCUUUUCAGUAUUUCAAAUGCAAUAAAAUUGAUAAUCAGAAAUA